rnacentral:rRNA from 1 species
GACGAACGCUGGCGGCGUGCUUAACACAUGCAAGUCGAGCGGUAAGGCCCCUUUUUGGGGGGUACACGAGCGGCGAACGGGUGAGUAACACGUGGGUGACCUGCCUUCAGCUCUGGGAUAAGCCUGGGAAACUGGGUCUAAUACCGGAUAUGACCUUUGCCUGCAUGGGUGAGGGUGGAAAGAUUUGUUUUGGCUGGGGAUGGGCCUGCGGUCUAUCAGCUUGUUGGUGGGGUGAUGGCCACCAAGGCGACGACGGGUAGCCGGCCUGAGAGGGCGACCGGCCACACUGGGACUGAGACACGGCCCAGACUCCUACGGGAGGCAGCAGUGGGGAAUAUUGGGCAAUGGGCGAAAGCCUGACCCAGCAACGCCGCGUGAAGGAGGAAAUCCUUCGGGAUGUAAACUUCACAAGCAAGGGAAGAGCGCGCAGGGUCGAAUAAACUCUGCGUCCGACGGUACCUUGCGUAAGCCACGGCUAACUACGUGCCAGCAGCCGCAGU